rnacentral:lncRNA from 1 species
CGCAAAUAGCAGAUUGUCCGUGCACCCUUCGGAGAAAGUUUGUAAGAACUUUGAAAAGGAAGCCAGCUUUGAAAGAGACCAAUAGCGAACCUAUGAAAGUGUAUUUGCGAGUUCGACCAUUGUCUGAGUUAGAGUUGAUAGCGGGUGAGUCACAAGAAUGCUUCCAAUCGGAGAAUGAUUCGUCCAUUGUCGUUCAACCACCGAAAGAUUCUGCUUCUUUCAAGAAUCAUGUCCGUACUACUGGAAUGCAGGUUUAUCAAUUUGAUUUCUCGCAUGUGUUUGGACCUGAAACCAACCAGGAGAAUUUGUUUAAAGAUACAACGCUCGAUGUUGUGAAAGAUUUUGUAAGAGGACAGAACUGUUUAACUUUCAGCUAUGGAGUGACCAAUGCUGGAAAG